CAGAUAGAAUAACAGACCACAGUAAUGCAGAUGUUGCCGUUGAUUCAUACCACCGCUACAAGGGAGAUGUGGCUAUGAUGAAGGAUAUUGGAUUCAAUGCCUACAGGUUCUCCAUCUCUUGGCCAAGAAUACUACCUCAUGGAAACUUGCAGGGAGGAGUUAACCAAU